rnacentral:rRNA from 1 species
CCUACGGGUGGCAGCAGUCGAGAAUCUUUCACAAUGGGGGAAACCCUGAUGGUGCGACGCCGCGUGGGGGAAUGAAGGUCUUCGGAUUGUAAACUCCUGUCAUGUGGGAGCAAAUUAAAAAGAUAGUACCACAAGAGGAAGAGACGGCUAACUCGGUGCCAGCAGCCGCGGUAAUACAGAGGUCUCAAGCGUGGUUCGGAAUCAGUUGGCGUAAAGCGUGCGUAGGCUGGUUCGUAAGGCGUGUGUGAAAGGCGCGGGCUCAACCCGCGGACGGCACAUGAUAAUGUGUGACUAGAGUAAUGGAGGGGGAAGCGGAAUUCUCGGUGUAGCAGUGAAAUGCGUAGAUAUCGAGAGGAACACUCGUGGCGAAGGCGGGUUCCUGGACAUUAACUGACGCUGAGGCACGAAGGCCAGGGGAGCGAAAGGGAUUAGAUACCCGUGUAGUC